GCUGUAAUCUUUCCUGUUGCUACUGUGCCAUGAGCUGACCUUUGUCUACAUUGCGUUUUGGCAGAGAGCCUAUUAGCGGUGGCCUUGUGAUCACAGGAGGAGUAGCUAGUACUGUACUGUUUGCUCCACAGAAGUUUGCUGAGUCUGUUUUAUAUUUGGAUCUGGAGACACAUCCGAAAAGACUCUUUUUGUUGCAGUGGAGAAGGUGGUCAGAAAUCUUUUCAUCCUGCAAAGCAUGAAGGGGGAUUGUGGGCUUGUAAAACUCCAUCCGUAGCCUUAGUAUGUAGCGAGGGGCAGUGCUGAAGAAAAGACUGAUCUAGCCCAAGAAUUUUGCAAAAGAUUUGAUUUCAGAGAGGGACUGAAGGGGCAAAUGCAAAAUGUUUCCCUGUAUCCAUGACAGAAACCGAUCUAAGUGUACUUUUGAUUUAAAGGAAAAGUUUACUACAAAUCUGGAGUUAGCCUUAGCACGAAAUACAGUCCAUGCAUUGCAGCAACCCAAAUUCCCUCCUGAAAAAGAAUCCUGGACAAAACAGCCUCCUGACUUUAGCUAUAAACUGUAUAUAACUCCAAGCUUCUUCAAGAAGCCAAGUGGAAAGUCAAAAGAGUUGAAGAAGAAAAUGAAAACUAGCACAGUGCAUGAAGAAUUGAACAGAAUAAGAUCCAGAUUGUUUGUCCAAGUCCUGGAACCAGAGAAACAACCAAAAAUCAUUACAAGGUUUCCACAUGUGGGUCCCUAUGAAGCACAAUUAAUGUUCGUGAAAAUGGGAAAAUUUAAGAGCAGCAAAUACCAAGAUCCCAAACCGUAUGAUUAUAGACAGUAUGAAAAGGAUACACCAAAUUUUGUGACAAGCAUUGCUAAAGAUCCUCUGAAUCUAAAGUUCCGGUCUCAGUGUUUAAGCAAAGGUAAGUGUUUGGCUGACUGGCAGAGGUAG
rnacentral:lncRNA from 1 species